CUAGUACUCCCUCCGUUCCAAAUUACUCGUCGCAGAAAUGGAUGUAUCUAGAUGUAUUUUAAUUCUAAAUAUAUCCAUACUUGCGACAAGUAAUUCGGAAUGGAGGGAUAGUAAUGA
rfam:Triticum aestivum genome assembly, contig: Triticum_aestivum_CS42_TGACv1_scaffold_292045_4AL